GGUGCUUGAUUUGUCCUCUGUUUUGUUCCAGAUCUGCUCCUCUGUUUCGUUCGAGAUCUGGUGCCGUUGAGUUCGAACUUGGCGCCGUGGCUUCUUCUUCCUCCAGAUCUGUUCUGGAUCUGCUCGGUUCAAUCUGGUCGCCGUCUCCCCAUAUUCCUCUAGAUCUGCUCUGCUGCAUUCUCCGAGGCUUCGUUUAAAGAUCCUGUCUUGCCUUCCUCAGUAGAUAUCAUUUGGCAAUUCUGGUGCUCUACUCUGUCUUCCUCCGGUUCUGGAGCACCAACAACAGAGGAGUCAAGAACACCCCUGUUGUCAGCUAUGUCUCGCUCCCCUCGGUUCUCGUCCAUUUGGGUGCUCGCUUCCCCAACAACAUAUGAGUCGAGCGCACCCCUGUUUCCAGCCAUAUCUCGCUCCUCCGUGUUUUCUGCCGUUUGGU